AUUGAACGCUGGCGGCAGGCCUAACACAUGCAAGUCGAGCGGUAGAGAGAAGCUUGCUUCUCUUGAGAGCGGCGGACGGGUGAGUAAUGCCUAGGAAUCUGCCUGGUAGUGGGGGAUAACGUUCGGAAACGGACGCUAAUACCGCAUACGUCCUACGGGAGAAAGCAGGGGACCUUCGGGCCUUGCGCUAUCAGAUGAGCCUAGGUCGGAUUAGCUAGUUGGUGAGGUAAUGGCUCACCAAGGCGACGAUCCGUAACUGGUCUGAGAGGAUGAUCAGUCACACUGGAACUGAGACACGGUCCAGACUCCUACGGGAGGCAGCAGUGGGGAAUAUUGGACAAUGGGCGAAAGCCUGAUCCAGCCAUGCCGCGUGUGUGAAGAAGGUCUUCGGAUUGUAAAGCACUUUAAGUUGGGAGGAAGGGUUGUAGAUUAAUACUCUGCAAUUUUGACGUUACCGACAGAAUAAGCACCGGCUAACUCUGUGCCAGCAGCCGCGGUAAUACAGAGGGUGCAAGCGUUAAUCGGAAUUACUGGGCGUAAAGCGCGCGUAGGUGGUUUGUUAAGUUGGAUGUGAAAUCCCCGGGCUCAACCUGGGAACUGCAUUCAAAACUGACUGACUAGAGUAUGGUAGAGGGUGGUGGAAUUUCCUGUGUAGCGGUGAAAUGCGUAGAUAUAGGAAGGAACACCAGUGGCGAAGGCGACCACCUGGACUAAUACUGGCACUGAGGUGCGAAAGCGUGGGGAGCAAACAGG
rnacentral:rRNA from 1 species